UUUAAAGUUUGUGAAGACAAGAACACCACAAGCGCCCAAUCAAAGUGCAGAUAUUUACUUCAUAAUUCUGAAUGCCAGAUUGCAAUGUGGUCUAAACUCAUACUCCUGAUGAUGCUUGAUGGCUCUACUACCACGCGAAUAUGCAAGAAUAUAGCACACGUGCUACAGAUCAACCAAAAAGGCUUUGUGCAACCCAGCAACAGGUGCUGCUGCAUUUCAUCCUGUACAGGAAGUUAGCUUGUUCUUCUUCUGGAUGCUCCACCACUAGCUUCUGGCAAUACUCCUCGCAUGCGUGGAUCCCAUCAACCAUUGGCUCCCACUGAGAAAGGGCUUGGAACCCAUGAAAGUAGCAAACCACAGAGCUUCUUUUGCCUCGACAACAUAUACCUCUCCGUGUGAUCUGUGGUUAUAGUUCAGAUCCACCAGGCAAAUAGAUUUCCCGCUCUUCAGAACUGAUAUGGCAGCUUUGCAGCUGCUCUUUACUGCCUCUUCCUUGGAUGAAGCUUCAGGACUGG